rnacentral:lncRNA from 1 species
GGGGGAGGGACACUCUAGGGUUGCUCAAGAUUCAUUUGGAAAGUUAUCCUGUUUCUGAAUGUUUUUCUAUACCUUAGUGCAUUUACCAUUUUGCCUUUCUCAUUAACUAAUUGUUUUUCUUCCUUUUUCUUAGUUUAACUUCCAUAAAUAUUUGUGGUAGCUUAUGAUAAUAUAUGGUUAUGAAAGUUUUAUAGAGGCUUCCUAAUCACAUCAGUGAGCUACUGUAAAAUUUUAGGAUGCAUUGAACUUCUACAAAAUUAAAUUAAAAUUAAAAUAGUACCCUGUGGCAGAUUAUAGGGCUCUAUUUUUAACUCAAGUUCCAGUGGCAGUUUGGCUCUAAUAUUUUUACAGGAUGUUACAGUAGUGUGACAAAAGCUUCUGUGAUUUUUUCAUAAUUUUUGGUGAAGGACAUCUAUCUUCCAUAUUUUUCCUUUAUUUAAUCUUGCACAAAAGUUUAAGCAUGUUUCAUUCAGUUUCAUGCAGUGGCCAAUAAUUUUCCUAUUUAGUGUAUUGCAUUAGUGAUCCAACAAAUGUGGUUUC